UGUUAUUUUGUAUCAGACAUUUAUAUUGUAAAGACUUUUCACUCCAUAUUGAUUAAUUCCAGAUAAUAAUAUAUUAUCAUGAAAGUACACAUUUAUACAUUUGCCAUAGUUUUACUUGCUGGCUUUUUGGACAUGGACACUUUUUGUGUAGAUGCCACUCAAGGUCCAGACUUAAUGCCAUGCGAGCUCAACUCUGAGUGCGAACCUAUCUGUAGUACGAGAUGUCGUCGCCCAUAUUUGCCUAUCUGCAGAUCUGACGAAUGCUGGUGUGCUCCACUCCAGCCCUGAGAUUAAGCUGGCCUUGACAAUAACAUACUUGCUACAUGGUUUUAAUGUGUGUGUGACCCUAUACUUAUUUACUUAGAUAACAACCCUCACUAUUGCGUUAUAGAUGGUCGAUAAUAUAAUAUAUAUUGUUUCAUG